CCCUGGCAUGGCGCAACCAGUCCUGGUGAAGCUCAAAUUGACUCUAGUAGGGAGUCCUUUAAUGAGCGACUCCCUAACGGAGUCAGAUUGAGCUACAAAGGAGCGAGACAACAGAGGA
rnacentral:pre_miRNA from 1 species